rnacentral:rRNA from 1 species
UGGGGAAUUUUGGACAAUGGGCGCAAGCCUGAUCCAGCCAUGCCGCGUGAGUGAAGAAGGCCUUCGGGUUGUAAAGCUCUUUCGCAAGGGAAGAAAACGUGUGGGCUAAUAUCCUGCGCGGAUGACGGUACCUUGACAAGAAGCACCGGCUAACUACGUGCCAGCAGCCGCGGUAAUACGUAGGGUGCGAGCGUUAAUCGGAAUUACUGGGCGUAAAGCGUGCGCAGGCGGUUGUGUAAGACAGGUGUGA